rnacentral:rRNA from 1 species
UAGGGAAUCUUCCGCAAUGGACGAAAGUCUGACGGAGCGACGCCGCGUGAGUGAAGAAGGAUUUCGGUUCGUAAAACUCUGUUGUUAGGGAAGAAAAAAUGUAUAGUAACUAUAUACAAAAGAGACGGUACCUAACCAGAAAGCCACGGCUAACUACGUGCCAGCAGCCGCGGUAAUACGUAGGUGGCAAGCGUUGUCCGGAAUUAUUGGGCGUAAAGCGCGCGCAGGUGGUUUAGAAAGUCUGAUGUGAAAGCCCACGGCUCAACCGUGGAGGGUCAUUGGAAACUAAUAAACUUGAGUGCAGGAGAGAAAAGUGGAAUUCCUAGUGUAGCGGUGAAAUGCGUAGAGAUUAGGAGGAACACCGGUGGCGAAAGCGGCUUUUUGGCCUGCAACUGACACUGAGGCGCGAAAGCGUGGGGAGCAAACAGG